GUAUUACACACUACAUAUGUCAAACAGUAAUAACAUGUGCAGUAGUUACAGUAGUAGUAACUAUCAUUUUAUAUAUUUUUUAUCAUUCCAGACUCCCAAGCACCUGCCCAUCCCACUCCAUAGCCCAGCCACCCACUCUCAUGUACCAUAUGACCAUCCCAGUAAGCAAGCCAACCACUAGAAUUUGACUGGCAUGCACCUGUGACUUACAUAAACCAGACCUCUACAUAGCCUACAUGUCUUCAUUUUGCUGGAGACUGCCCAUCAUCCUAGCCUGUUAUCUGUGAUAAAGCACACUGAAGUUAGGUUUGGAAUGCAUCCUUAUCAUGAAUGCUCUACACCUCCACCUCCAUCUCCCACAACCUAGGUAACAGCUUUGAGACUCACUAAAAAGUUGGUAAGUUAU